AUUGAACGCUAGCGGGAUGCUUUACACAUGCAAGUCGAACGAGUGGCGGACGGGUGAGUAAUAUAUCGGAACGUGCCCAAUAGCGGGGGAUAACUACUCGAAAGAGUGGCUAAUACCGCAUACCAUCGGAGCGGCCCAUAUCGGAUUAGCUAGUUGGUGGGGUAAAGGCUCACCAAGGCAACGAUCCCUAGCUGGUUUGAGAGGACGACCAGCCACACUGGAACUGAGACACGGCCCAGACUCCUACGGGAGGCAGCAGUGGGGAAUUUUGGACAAUGGGGGCAACCCUGAUCCAGCCAUCCCGCGUGUAUGAGAAGGCCUUCGGGUUGUAAAGUACUUUUGGCGAGGAAGCGGUAUCUGCAGAAUAAGCACCGGCUAACUACGUGCCAGCCGCCGCGGUAAUAC
rnacentral:rRNA from 1 species